rnacentral:RNase_MRP_RNA from 13 species
AGCACGGCUUCGCAGCGCACAGGCGGGGAGCUCGCUCCCACUUCGACGCUGCGGGGAAAGUCCCCGUGCCUUGGGGCAGGGAGUGCCGGCGGGAGACCGCAGGGCCGAGGCGCGAGCGCAGUCGGCGAGGCUUUGCGCGGAGCCGUCACAGGAAUCGCCUUCGGCCCGUUGCAUCAGCACAGAGAUGCCGUGCGCGCUCCACAUGCGGGGCGCGAACAGAACGGGGCUCACUCUC